rnacentral:lncRNA from 1 species
UGGCAUAUGGAGGUUCCCAGGCUAGGGGUUGAAUCGGAGCUGUAGCUGCCGGCCUACACCAGAGGCACAGCAACUCAGGAUCCAAGCCGUGUCUUCAACCUACACCACAGCUCACAGCAACACCGGAUCCUUAACCCACUGAGCAAGGGCAGGGAUCGAACCUGCAACCUCAUGGUUCCUAGUCGGAUUCGUUAACCACUGCGCCACGACAGGAACUCCCCAGUAAAAUAAUUUUAUAAGUAUUAUCACAAAAACAGACACACAGAUAGAUCAUUUAGCCAGAAUAGAGUGCCCAGAAAUAAAUCUAUACAUAUAUGGGCAAUUAAUUUAUGACAAAGAAAGUGAGAUUAUAUAACGGAGAAAAGAUAAUCUCUUUCAAUAACAGGUGUUGGGGAAAUUGGACAGUAACAAACAAAAGAGUGAAAGUGGACCAUCGCCUUACACUAUACACAAAAGUUUACUCAAAAUGGAUUAAAGAUGAAUGUAAGACCUGAAAUCGUAAAACUCCUAUAAAAGAAUAUAGGUGAUAAAGCUCUUUGACAGAGAUCUUGGAGGUGAUUUUUUUAAAUCUGACACCAAAAGCAAAAGCAACAAAAGCAAAAAUAAACAAGUGGGACUACAUCAAACUAAAAAUCUCUUGCACAGCAAAGGAAACCAUCAAUAAAAUGAAAAGGGAACUUACUGAAUGGGAGAAAAUAAUUGCAAAUAAUGUAUCUGAUAAGGCUUCAUAUCCAAAUAAAGAAUUCAUACAACUCAACAGCAAAAAGAAAUCCACUUUUUUAAAUGAGCAGAAGAUCUGAACAGACAUUUUUCCAAAGGGACAUACAGAGGGCCAUCAGGCACAGAAAAGAUGCUCAGCAUCACUUAUCAGGAAAAUUCAGAUCAGAACCACAGCGACAUAUCACCUCACACACGUUAGAACAGCUGUUACCAAAAAGACAAGGCAUCAGUGAGGAUGCGGAGGAAAGGGAACCCUCACGCACUCCUAGUGGGAAUGUAAACUGGGGCAGCCACUGUGGAAAACAGUAAAGAGACUGGUCAAAAAACUUAAAAGAGAGUUACCACGUGACCUAGAAAUUCCAAAUGUGAGUGUCUAUCCAAAGAAAACAAAAACACUAACUCAAAAAGGUAUCUGCAGCCUCUAUGGUCAUUGCGGCAUAUUUACACCAGCCAAGAUACAGAAACAGCCUAAGUGUCCAUCAUCAGAUAAAAGGAUAUAGAAAAUGUGGUAUAUACACACAGCAGAAAUACUACUCGGCCUCAUAAAGAACGACUCUAACCAUCUGUGACCAUAUGGACGGACCUUCAGGGUAUUAUGCUCAGUGAAAGACCAACAGUAUAUGAUCUCAAAUGUGGAAUCUGAACAGAAACAAACAAAAACUCUAACUCACAGAUACAGAAAACUGACUGGUGGUUUCCAGAGGGGGAAGACAGCAAGAAGAAAUUGGCGACUGGAUUCAAAAGAGUUCUGGUCAUGGUUAACAAACCCGCCUAGGAUCCAUGAGGACAGGAGUUCAACCCCUGGCCUCACUCAGUGGGUUAAAGAUCUAGCACUGACAUGAGCUGUGGUCCAGGUCUCAGACACAGCUCAGAUCCUGCAUUGCUGUGGCUGUGGUGUAGGCCGGCGGCUGUAGCUCUGAUUCGACCCCUAGCCUGGGAACCUCCAUAUGCCCCAUGUGUGGCCCUAAAAAAACAAAAAGAAGACGAAAAAAAAAAAAAGACAAAAGAUAAGCUUUCAGUUAUAAAAGUUACCUGGUGGUGUAACAUACAGCUUGGUGUACAGUUUCUAAUAUGUAGUCAAUACUUGAAAGCUGCUAAGAGAAGGAAGAAAGCUUCCAGACUUGAUCGAUCAGAUGUGGGAAAUAAGAGGAAAUAAAUGGAGAUCAGAUUACCAGCUUAGGUGGCGUGCUGCAUAUAACUCAACUUAAAGUUACAGGAAACCCAAGAAAGGUUAACUUUCAGAAAAAAAUAAACUACAAGAGGCUCAGCACUGGAAAUACUGAAUCUGCAGCUGGAAAUUUAGGUUGGAGAGGAAGGUUCCCAACAGAACUCUACCCAUCUUGAUUUGAUUGUGUUAUUCAUUUAACAGAUUAUUUGAGAAUCCACCAUGUUGCCAGGAAUGUAGACCAUAAAAAUAUAAAUAUGAACAAGGGGAGUUCCCGCUGUGGCUCAGAGGUAACGAACCCAACCAGUAUCCAUAAGGACGCGGAUCCCUGGCCUCAGUGGAUUAAGGAUUCGGCGUUGUUGUGAGAUGUGGUGUAGGUCGCAGACUUGGCUCAGAUCCCAUGUUGCUGUGGCUGUGGUGUAGACCCGCAGCUGUAGCUCCAAUUCGACCCCUAGGCUGGGAACUUCCAUGUGCUGAAGUUGCAGCCCUAUAAAAACAUAAAAAUGAACAAGAAAUGGUUGCUGUUCAGAAGAGAGAUGUAAUCUACCUCUAGGCAGAGGGCAGACUGGUGGACCACGUUCUCAGAGAAUGACACACAUAUUCUCCACCCUGGCUCCACACUAGGGUCAGGAAAGUUUCUGCACAUCCCCAGGCCACACUCUGGGCUUGGGUCCAGGCAUCAGGGGCUGCUUAAACUCUCCAGGUGAAGCUGCUAUGCAGCCAAGAUCGAGAGCAGUUGCACGACUCAGAGGGGAACACCUGGGACAAAUUCUUUGCCCCACCUGGCAGUAACUGGGGGAGGAGUGGGGAGAAGGAUGAGAGGUGUAAGUAAGGGAACCUUACUGACGGAGCUCCUACCAAAUAACUUAAUGAUGUACAGUUUCUCCAGAGAGAAAAAGUAUCAAAGGCUAACAGUAAGAGUGCAUGGGAAUAAGGCAGGCACUUUAAAUGAGUGGCAAAGUUUUGCAGCGGGCUCUGCAGAGAGUGUGAAAGAGUUUAUUAGGGAGCAGGAGGAACAUAUGAGGCAAGUAUAAAGGUCCGGUGGCAGUGAGUACUCAUGCACGGGGGUAGUAGCAUCCAAGGACUG